AAGCCAUGCAUGUCUAAGUAUAAGCAAUUAUACAGCGAAACUGCGAAUGGCUCAUUAUAUAAGUUAUCGUUUAUUUGAUAGUGCCUUACUACUUGGAUAACCGUGGUAAUUCUAGAGCUAAUACAUGCUAAAAAUCCCGACUUCGGAAGGGAUGUAUUUAUUAGAUUAAAAACCAAUGCCCUCUGGGCUCUCUGGUGAUUCAUGAUAACUCGUCGAAUCGCACGGCCUUGCGCCGGCGAUGGUUCAUUCAAAUUUCUUCCCUAUCAACUUUCGAUGUUUGGGUAGUGGCCAAACAUGGUUGCAACGGGUAACGGAGGGUUAGGGCUCGACCCCGGAGAAGGAGCCUGAGAAACGGCUACUACAUCCAAGGAAGGCAGCAGGCGCGCAAAUUACCCAAUCCCGACACGGGGAGGUAGUGACAAUAAAUACUGAUACAGGGCUCUUUUGGGUCUUGUAAUUGGAAUGAGUACAAUUUAAAUCCCUUAACGAGGAACAAUUGGAGGGCAAGUCUGGUGCCAGCAGCCGCGGUAAUUCCAGCUCCAAUAGCGUAUAUUAAAGUUGUUGUGGUUAAAAAGCUCGUAGUUGAACCUUGGGCCUGGCUGGCCGGUCCGCCUCACCGCGUGUACUGGUCCGGCCGGGCCUUUCCCUCUGUGGAACCCCAUGCCCUUCACUGGGUGUGGCGGGGAAACAGGACUUUUACUUUGAAAAAAUUAGAGUGCUCCAGGCAGGCCUAUGCUCGAAUACAUUAGCAUGGAAUAAUGAAAUAGGACGUGCGGUUCUAUUUUGUUGGUUUCUAGGACCGCCGUAAUGAUUAAUAGGGACAGUCGGGGGCAUCAGUAUUCAAUUGUCAGAGUGAAAUUCUUGGAUUUAUUGAAGACUAACUACUGCGAAAGCAUUUGCCAAGGAUGUUUCAUUAAUCAGGAACGAAAGUUAGGGAUCGAGACGAUCAGAUACCGUCGUAGUCUACAUAACUAUGCGACUAGGGAUCGGAC
rnacentral:rRNA from 1 species